rnacentral:lncRNA from 1 species
GAGAGGAGAGCAAUGGGUGUUUUAAUAAGCUUUCUAGGUGACUCAGAUACAAACUAAAGUCUGAAGAAGCUGCUCAGAAGAGUGUCCUUGGAUCAGCAGCAUCAGCGCCACCUGGGAGCUUGUGAGAAAUGCAAAAUCUCAAGCGUCACUCCUACACUGCAGCAGUAUUUGCAUUUAUAACAAGACCAUGGGUGACUCCUCUGCACACAAAAACUUGAGAAGCGCUAUUCCAGAACGCUUUGAAAAAAACAUGCCUUCCAUUAGGAAACUGUCAUCCAGGAGUGUGGCUGAUUAAAAAUGGCCCCGCAUUUCUGCCACUUCUUCCACUAAGAGAUGGUAUCUCUCUCCCAGCCCCUUGAAUCUGUGAGUGCCUGUGACCGGUUUCGAUCAACAGAUAUGGCUAGAGUGAUGCUGUGUACCCUCCAAGGCUAGGUUUUAAGAGAUCUGAAGUGUCUGCCUUCAUCUCUUAGGCCACUUUCUCCUGGGACCCAGCCAAUACACCGUGAGAAGCCCUGGGAGAUGCCAUGAGGAGGAGAACUAAGGCACUCUGGUCCCGCCCCAGCUCAGCUCUCCGCUAACAGCCAACUGGCAGCCCUGUGAGUGAGCCAUGGAAGAUGCUCCAGCCCAGCAUCGAGCACAUGGUUGAAUGCAGGAAGAGUCCUGUUACGUUAUGCAUAUAUUUACUUGCCCACUCGGCUGACAGCAGUGAGAAGAGGAAGGUUCUGGGCCAGAAUGUUCCUGCUGAGAAGACAGGUUCAGACCACAGCCUUCGUUCCAUUGCACGUAUGCCGCCUGUUUGAUGUUGCUGUGGUCCCCAUCUUAGCCCCCCAGUACAUAGCUGUAUAUUCUUCGUUGUGGGUCCUUCUAGUUGUGGCAUGUGGGACGCUACCUCAGCGUGGUUUGAUGAGCAGAGCCAUGUCCGCGCCCAGGAUUCGAACCAACGAAACACUGGGCCGCCUGGAGGGGAGCGCACAAACUUAACCACUCGGCCACGGGGCCAGCCCCUGGAGUCUUUUUAUUAUAAUUAACAGAAAAGAAGCCCCGUAGAUAUGGCAUCAUUAACCCACUUUUCAGCAG